UACGGAGGGUGCAAGCGUUAUCCGGAUUCACUGGGUUUAAAGGGUGCGUAGGUGGGCAGUUAAGUCAGUGGUGAAAUCUCCGGGCUUAACCCGGAAACUGCCAUUGAUACUAUCUGUCUUGAAUAUCGUGGAGGUAAGCGGAAUAUGUCAUGUAGCGGUGAAAUGCUUAGAUAUGACAUAGAACACCAAUUGCGAAGGCAGCUUACUACCCGAAUAUUGACACUGAGGCACGAAAAGCGUGGGGGAUCAAAACAGG
rnacentral:rRNA from 1 species